UUGCAAGAAACCUUCUCUCUCUCUCUCUCAUUAGAAAGUGGAAAUGGUUAAGAUUGUGGAAAGCAUGAAGAAAGGUUUAUUUAAUCUUGUUGACAUAGUAUCUUGUGGAAGCAAAGGAGCUAAAGAAAAACAUGAAGAGGAGCCAAAGCUUAACGUUGAGACAAAAUUACAAGUGACAACAGCAAGAGAUCCAGCAGAAUCAAAUAAACCAGGUGGUCCUUCUACUGAAUCAACUUAGAAGUUGAUAUCUUGAAAGAACAAAAAAAAGUUACCCCAUUCACCACUUCCUCAAUUUGUUGUUAUUUCUAUUUAAUGUUUAUUUGAGUUAUUUUAAAUAUCUAUAUUACUGCAAUAUUUCGAGA